rnacentral:ncRNA from 1 species
UACUUUGUAACUUCUCAUUUAGAUUUCCUUUUCCGCAUAGGUGAACAACUUGAUAAUUUUUAAGGAGCUGCGGCAAAGCUUCUCGUACUGUUUCAUUGAUUUUCUUUGCCCCUAGACUUCCUCCCAUAACUGUGAUUACCGGUUUUCUAGAAUGAAAGCCAAGAAAACGUAAUCC